UGCCAUUGCUAAGUCAAGGCUUCUUCCUGUGCAUUUUCUUGCCGCUCAAUGGGAGUUUUGUCUGUUACAGCUUUGGUAGAUUGAUACUCAUCCGCCGCUCUAUCUCUUUCUGAGUUUAGAGUUGAUCGGUUUUCGUUUUGAAGGCUUAUCGUAAAGGAUGAGCAGUGCUUUGUUUUUGAGUUGAGCUCUGAAUACCGUCAUUCGAAGGUACCUUCUGUAUCAGAGCUCUUAGUAACAUUUCACACAUUG
rfam:Talaromyces marneffei PM1 scf003, whole genome shotgun sequence.